rnacentral:rRNA from 1 species
GGGUUAAGUCCGUACGAGCGCAACCCUGUCCUUAGUUACCAGCACGUUAUGGUGGGCACUCUAAGGAGACUGCCGGUGACAAACCGGAGGAAGGUGGGGAGUGACGUCAAGUCAUCAUGGCCCUUACGGCCUGGGCUACACACGUGCUACAAUGGUCGGUACAAAGGGUUGCCAAGCCGCGAGGUGGAGCUAAUCCCAUAAAACCGAUCGUAGUCCGGAUCGCAGUCUGCAACUCGACUGCGUGAAGUCGGAAUCGCUAGUAAUCGUGAAUCAGAAUGUCACGGUGAAUACGUUCCCGGGCCUU